UACGUAGGGGGCUAGCGUUGUCCGGAAUCAUUGGGCGUAAAGCGCGUGUAGGCGGCCAGGUAAGUCCGUUCUGAAAGCCCGGGGCUCAACCCCGGGAGGCGGAUGGAUACUGCUUGGCUCGAGUCCGGAAGAGGCGAGUGGAAUUCCCGGUGUAGCGGUGAAAUGCGCAGAUAUCGGGAGGAACACCAAUGGCGAAGGCAGCUCGCUGGGACGGUACUGACGCUGAGACGCGAAAGCCAGGGGAGCGAACGGG
rnacentral:rRNA from 1 species